rnacentral:rRNA from 1 species
UACGUAGGGUGCAAGCGUUAAUCGGAAUUACUGGGCGUAAAGCGUGCGCAGGCGGUUAUGUAAGACAGGUGUGAAAUCCCCGGGCUUAACCUGGGAACUGCAUUUGUGACUGCAUAGCUAGAGUACGGUAGAGGGGGAUGGAAUUCCGCGUGUAGCAGUGAAAUGCGUAGAUAUGCGGAGGAACACCGAUGGCGAAGGCAAUCCCUGGACCUGUACUGACGCUCAU